rnacentral:tRNA from 1 species
AAUGCUUUAGGUUAAAUAAACCAAUGGCCUUCAAAGCCGUAAAUGGGCUUUCCACCCAAACAUUA